rnacentral:lncRNA from 1 species
CAAUUGUGAGGGGUGGCAAACAGCUGCUCCACAGCACGUUCUUUAAGGUACUGGUAGCUCUUGCUUGUGACCUGGAGCUGGACACUCUCCCUUGCUGUGCCGAGACACACAAGUGGGCGUGGUUCCAGAGGUACUGCAUGGCCUCCCGCGUUGCUGUGGCCCUUGACAAAAGAACACCAUUGCCCCGUCUGUUUCUUGAUGAGGUGGCUAAGAAAAUUCGUGAAUUAAUGGCAGACAGCGAAAACAUGGAUGUUCUGCAUGAGAGCCACGACAUUUUUAAAAGAGAACAAGAUGAGCAGCUUGUGCAGUGGAUGAACAGGUUAUUCUCUUAGAAACAAGCAGUAAUGUCGAUCGAGAGCACGAGAGGCCGUGUGCAUUGUUCUUUCCCAUGGCAAAUGCUCACUUGAUGUUUAUUGUAGGCGACCAGAUGACUGGACUGUCUCUGCUGGUGGCAGUGGAACAAUUUAUGGAUGGGGACAUAAUCAUAGGGGCCAACUCAGGGGCAUUAAAGGUGCAAAGGCAAAGUUCCCACUCCCUGUGAAGCCCUCGCAACUCUCAGACCCGUGCAGUUCAUCGGAGGGGAGCAGACCCUCUUUGCUGUGACGGCUGAUGGGAAGGUAAGGGCGCUUUUUCUGUGUCACAGGGUCAUUGAGCCUGAGACAGUU